UGGAGAGUUCCUGCUCCUUAUCUCUCAAGAGAUUCUUUUGAGCAGCCCAGUCCUCAGCCAACUUCUUGUUGGUAGCAGACAGAGUAGAGGCGUCUGAAGCUUUUUGCAUAACCUCGCCUUCCAGAUCUUUACAUCGGCGCUUCACCUUCUUCAGCUCAUCUUCCAUAGACUGGUAGUCACGAAGACGAGACAGAGAAGAGAGGCGGCCUUGAAACAAAUAGG
rnacentral:lncRNA from 1 species